rnacentral:rRNA from 1 species
AGUGGGGAAUAUUGGACAAUGGGGGAAACCCUGAUCCAGCGACGCCGCGUGGGUGAAGAAGGCCUGCGGGUUGUAAAGCCCUUUCAGUGGGGAAGAAAAGCCUCGAGCUAAUACCUCGGGGUCUUGACGUAACCCAUAGAAGAAGCACCGGCUAACUCUGUGCCAGCAGCCGCGGUAAUACAGAGGGUGCGAGCGUUAAUCGGAAUUACUGGGCGUAAAGCGCGCGUAGGCGGCUUUGCAAGUCGGGUGUGAAAUCCCCAGGCUUAACCUGGGAACUGCAUUCGAGACUGCAUUGCUAGAGUAUGGGAGAGGGAAGUGGAAUUUCCGGUGUAGCGGUGAAAUGCGUAGAUAUCGGAAGGAACAUCAGUGGCGAAAGCGACUUCCUGGACCAAUACUGACGCUCAUGUGCGAAAGCGUGGGGAGCAAA